CCUCGGUCUAAUUCAACUGAUCAUUCACACAAUUCAUGGUCAGACACUUGGAAGGCAACCUCUGAGGGUUGGUUCCUAAUGGAAACAUGAGCACUUUAUUCUGGAGUGCACAAAGAAGAGGAAGGAACACUGCAGCUGCAACUAAAUUACUAAACCCAGCUUCAAGAUCAUGGAGGCCUAUUUAGACCACACUUAAUGUGCAUUGAGGCUCCAGGAUCAGAAGAGUGGGACCCUAUCUGCUCCUUCCAGAGCCAACUGGAACAUGCUUUCUUGUUGACUCCAGCUUGAGAUCCUCUAUAGGGAGUAAGACAGUGGUCAUGUAAAAGCCUUAUAUUGGAAAGAGAACUUUGUUCCUUUUAAUUGUUCUUAGGGUGUUGUAUGCCCAAAUGCCAGAUUGGAAUUGCAGCCAUCUGAAUAUUUUCAGAAAGCAUCAUUAUCAUUUAAAAACCAAAGAGCCAAAUGAGAGGUGGCCUCGAAAAAGCCACUUUAGAGGUGGGUGAAUGGGACUGUUGACUGUACUGUGAUUGAAAGGGAGCUUCUAAUUCACUUUGGGAAGCCACUGGAAAAGGCUUUCCCAGAAAUGUUGAAUACAUUGUAGAAUGCCUUGAUUGA
rnacentral:sRNA from 1 species